rnacentral:lncRNA from 1 species
GAUGUGCAACGAAAGGAAAAUUAGGGAAAUUUUGAUCUGGGUUUGUGCUCAAGCACAAUGGAUUUAGGGAUUAUGCACAAAAAGAGAAAUGUAGAACAUUAUAGAUCUAGGAUUUCAACGUAGAAGAAGAUAAAAAAAAUGCCAAAAGGAAGACGAAACAUUUUUGUGGAUGAGAUGAGAUAACACGUAUUCACCGGAAAAAUGGGCAAAGUAGAUGGGCACGCCUUCCAAAAUCCAUCUUUUUUUAGUAGUGAAG